AGCGGGAAGUAGUUUACUACUUCGCCGGCGAGCGGCGGACGGGUGAGUAAUGUCUGGGAAACUGCCUGAUGGAGGGGGAUAACUACUGGAAACGGUAGCUAAUACCGCAUAACGUCUUCGGACCAAAGUGGGGGACCUUCGGGCCUCACGCCAUCGGAUGUGCCCAGAUGGGAUUAGCUAGUAGGUGGGGUAAUGGCUCACCUAGGCGACGAUCCCUAGCUGGUCUGAGAGGAUGACCAGCCACACUGGAACUGAGACACGGUCCAGACUCCUACGGGAGGCAGCAGUGGGGAAUAUUGCACAAUGGGCGCAAGCCUGAUGCAGCCAUGCCGCGUGUGUGAAGAAGGCCUUCGGGUUGUAAAGCACUUUCAGCGAGGAGGAAGGCCAAUAACUUAAUAGGUUGUUGGAUUGACGUUACUCGCAGAAGAAGCACCGGCUAACUCCGUGCCAGCAGCCGCGGUAAUACGGAGGGUGCAAGCGUUAAACGGAAUUACUGGGCGUAAAGCGCACGCAGGCGGUUUGUUAAGUCAGAUGUGAAAUCCCCGCGCUUAACGUGGGAACUGCAUUUGAAACUGGCAAGCUAGAGUCUUGUAGAGGGGGGUAGAAUUCCAGGUGUAGCGGUGAAAUGCGUAGAGAUCUGGAGGAAUACCGGUGGCGAAGGCGGCCCCCUGGACAAAGACUGACGCUCAGGUGCGAAAGCGUGGGGAGCAAACA
rnacentral:rRNA from 1 species